CCACGAUGUUGAGCUUUUAUUUUGAAGAUCAGCAGACAUCCCGUUGUUGCCACAAGACUGAGAGGCACAUCUACGGGUUUAAAUGGCAUUUACUUAUUGAUAAUGCUGAAAUGUCUAACGCCAAGGUCGGGCACUGAAAUGACAGCAAAGAUCAAUCAACCAAUCAGUGAAGAGGAAACCAGUGAGGGCGGAGCCUCAGCCAGAUGGUGCAAUUCUCACCUGGAAUAAGAUGGCCUUGUUUGGUGGCCGAGGAGAAGUUAGCGUGUUGGCCUCGCACUCAGGGGACCGAGGGUUCCAAUCAUUAAUACUUCAUCACUGG